rnacentral:rRNA from 1 species
UACGGAGGGUGCAAGCGUUGUUCGGAAUUACUGGGCGUAAAGCGCGCGUAGGCGGUUUUAUAAGUCAGAUGUGAAAGCCCAUGGCUUAACCAUGGACGUGCAUUUGAAACUGUGAGACUUGAGUAUUGGAGGGGGUGGUGGAAUUCCCGGUGUAGAGGUGAAAUUCGUAGAUAUCGGGAGGAAUACCAGUGGCGAAGGCGACCACCUGGCCAAAUACUGACGCUAAUGUGCGAAAGCGUGGGGAGCAAACAGGAUUAGAUACCCUGGUAGUCCACGCCGUAAACGAUGUCAACUAGGUGUUGGGACGGUUAAUCGUCUCAUUGCCGCAGCUAACGCAUUAAGUUGACCGCCUGGGGAGUACGGUCGCAAGAUUAAA